GGGUUGUGCUCCCUCCCUGUUGGUUGUUUGAGGGCUUAUGCCAAGGGGUAUCUCCCAGAACUGCUGCUGUCAGUGACCCUGUCCUCACAGGAAGCCACUGCUAACCCGCACCUCACCAAGAGACCCUCCAACACUAGCAGGUGGAGAUGAGUGCACAUCCUUCUACUCGACCAUCUUGAACAAAUCUCCCCUCAGGCAUGAAGAUUAUUUUGAGCUAAAGGCAAUGGAGACCCUAUGGAUUCAAGGGAAACUACUAGCUUUCUGUUAACUACCUAGAAGAAUUUACACUGGAGGGGUUCCUCAUGAAAAGAGUUAUUGUCAGAGAUUAAAUUUUAUCUAAUUGGCC
ensembl:lncRNA